rnacentral:rRNA from 1 species
UUGAACGCUGGCGGCAGGCCUAACCCAUGCAAGUCGAACGGUAACAGGAAACAGCUUGCUGUUUCGCUGACGAGUGGCGGACGGGUGAGUAAUGUCUGGGAAACUGCCUGAUGGAGGGGGAUAACUACUGGAAACGGUAGCUAAUACCGCAUAACGUCGCAAGACCAAAGAGGGGGACCUUCGGGCCUCUUGCCAUCGGAUGUGCCCAGAUGGGAUUAGCUAGUAGGUGGGGUAACGGCUCACCUAGGCGACGAUCCCUAGCUGGUCUGAGAGGAUGACCAGCCACACUGGAACUGAGACACGGUCCAGACUCCUACGGGAGGCAGCAGUGGGGAAUAUUGCACAAUGGGCGCAAGCCUGAUGCAGCCAUGCCGCGUGUAUGAAGAAGGCCUUCGGGUUGUAAAGUACUUUCAGCGGGGAGGAAGGGAGUAAAGUUAAUACCUUUACUCAUUGACGUUACCCGCAGAAGAAGCACCGGCUAACUCCGUG